CUUUGACAAAGAAAAUGACUUCUUCAGGGAACGCGGCUAUCGUAUAACCAGAGAGAUCAGAGAUGCUGGUGAUAUUGAGUUCAGAGAUCCAGGUUAUGCUGAACCGUAUGACGACCCAUACUAUGAUUAUGAGAUGGAAGCUUUUUGGCGAGGAGGCCAGUAUGAGAAUUUCCG